rnacentral:tRNA from 1 species
GGAGGGUCGUUCAGUGGCAGAGCGCUUGCCUGAUAGGCACAGAGCCCUGGGUUCAAUCCCUAGCACCUUCCU